GGAAUAUUGGACAAUGGGCGCAAGCCUGAUCCAGCCAUGCCGCGUGAGUGAAGAAGGCCUUAGGGUUGUAAAGCUCUUUCAGCGGGGAAGAUAAUGACGGUACCCGCAGAAGAAGCCCCGGCGAACUUCGUGCCAGCAGCCGCGGUAAUACGAAGGGGGCUAGCGUUGUUCGGAAUUACUGGGCGUAAAGCGCGCGUAGGCGGGUGAUUAAGUCAGGGGUGAAAUGCCGAGGCUCAACCUCGGAACUGCCUUUGAUACUGGUCGCCUGGAGUUCGGGAGAGGUAAGUGGAAUUCCGAGUGUAGAGGUGAAAUUCGUAGAUAUUCGGAGGAACACCAGAAGCGAAGGCGGCUUACUGGCCCGAUACUGACGCUGAGGCGCGAAAGCGUGGGGAGCAAAC
rnacentral:rRNA from 1 species